rnacentral:rRNA from 1 species
GAUGAACGCUGGCGGCGUGCUUAACACAUGCAAGUCGAACGAUGAAGCCCAGCUUGCUGGGUGGUUUAGUGGCGAACGGGUGAGUAAUACGUGAGCAACCUGCCCCUGACUCUGGGAUAAGCGCUGGAAACGGCGCCUAAUACUGGAUAUGUCCCGUCACCGCAUGGUGUGCGGGUGGAAAGAUUUUUCGGUUGGGGAUGGGCUCGCGGCCUAUCGGCUUGGUGGUGAGGUAAUGGCUCACCAAGGCGUCGACGGGUAGCCGGCCUGAGAGGGUGACCGGCCACACUGGGACUGAGAGACGGCCCAGACUCCUACGGGAGGCAGCAGUGGGGAAUAUUGCACAAUGGGCGGAAGCCUGAUGCAGCAACGCCGCGUGAGGGAUGACGGCCUUCGGGUUGUAAACCUCUUUUAGCAGGGAAGAAGCGAAAGUGACGGUACCUGCAGAAAAAGCACCGGCUAACUACGUG